rnacentral:rRNA from 1 species
GACGAACGCUGGCGGCGUGCUUAACACAUGCAAGUCGAACGGUAAGGCUCCAGCUUGCUGGGGUACACGAGUGGCGAACGGGUGAGUAACACGUGGGUGACCUGCCCUGCACUUCGGGAUAAGCCUGGGAAACUGGGUCUAAUACCGGAUAGGACCGCACCGUGAGGGUGUGGUGGAAAGUUUUUUCGGUGUGGGAUGGGCCCGCGGCCUAUCAGCUUGUUGGUGGGGUAAUGGCCUACCAAGGCGGCGACGGGUAGCCGGCCUGAGAGGGUGGACGGCCACAUUGGGACUGAGACACGGCCCAGACUCCUACGGGAGGCAGCAGUGGGGAAUAUUGCACAAUGGGCGGAAGCCUGAUGCAGCGACGCCGCGUGGGGGAUGACGGCCUUCGGGUUGUAAACUCCUUUCACCAUCGACGAAGGGUUUCUGGCGGUAGAUGGAGAAGAAGCACCGGCUAACUACGUG